rnacentral:rRNA from 1 species
ACGGGUGAGUAACGCGUGGGAACGUGCCCUUCGGUUCGGAAUAACUCAGGGAAACUCGAGCUAAUACCGGAUACGCCCUUUUGGGGAAAGGUUUACUGCCGAAGGAUCGGCCCGCGUCUGAUUAGCUAGUUGGUGAGGUUAUGGCUCACCAAGGCGACGAUCAGUAGCUGGUCUGAGAGGAUGAUCAGCCACACUGGGACUGAGACACGGCCCAGACUCCUACGGGAGGCAGCAGUGGGGAAUAUUGGACAAUGGGGGCAACCCUGAUCCAGCCAUGCCGCGUGAGUGAUGACGGCCUUAGGGUUGUAAAGCUCUUUUCUCCGGGACGAUAAUGACGGUACCGGAGGAAUAAGCCCCGGCUAACUUCGUGCCAGCAGCCGCGGUAAUACGAAGGGGGCUAGCGUUGCUCGGAAUCACUGGGCGUAAAGGGCGCGUAGGCGGCUGAUUUAGUCGAGGGUGAAAGCCCGUGGCUCAACCACGGAAUGGCCUUCGAUACUGGUUGGCUUGAGACCGGAAGAGGACAGCGGAACUGCGAGU